rnacentral:rRNA from 1 species
CCUACGGGCGGCAGCAGUGAGGAAUAUUGGUCAAUGGACGCAAGUCUGAACCAGCCAUGCCGCGUGCAGGAAGACGGCCCUACGGGUUGUAAACCUCUUUUAUCCGGGAGCAAAGCGAGUUACGUGUGACGCAUUGAGAGUACCCGAAGAAAAAGGAUCGGCUAACUCCGUGCCAGCAGCCGCGGUAAUACGGAGGAUGCGAGCGUUAUCCGGCUUUAUUGGGUGUAAAGGGGGCGCAGGCGGGAAGACAAGUUUGAUGUGAAAUCCCGCGGCUCAACCGCGGAACUGCAUCUGAAACUGGUUUUCUUGAGGACCGGAGAGGUAGGCGGAAUUCGUGGUGUAGCGGUGAAAUGCGUAGAUAUAAGGAAGAACACCGGUUGCGAAGGCAGAUUACUGGACGGCAACUGACGCUGAGGCGCGAAAGCGUGGGGAGCAAACAGGAUUAGAUACCCUUGUAGUC